UAAGGUGGUUAUUGCGGCGGGGCUCACCUCUUCCCAUCCCGAACAGAGUAGUUAAGCCCGCCUGCGCAGAUGGUACUGCAGUUAUGUGGGAGAGUAUGUCGUCGCCUUUCUUUUUAAAAUCCUCAUCAUGUAUUUGAUGGGGAUUUUUUUGUUUUAUAUUGAGUCGUGGAAUUUAACCGCAAAGCCCGCAAAGGAGUU
rnacentral:rRNA from 1 species